CCUACGGGAGGCAGCAGUGAGGAAUAUUGGUCAAUGGGCGCGAGCCUGAACCAGCCAAGUCGCGUGAGGGAGGACGGCCCUACGGGUUGUAAACCUCUUUUGCCGGGGAGCAACGGGCGUCACGUGUGGCGCCACUGAGAGUACCCGGAGAAAAAGCAUCGGCUAACUCCGUGCCAGCAGCCGCGGUAAUACGGAGGAUGCGAGCGUUAUCCGGAUUUAUUGGGUUUAAAGGGUGCGUAGGCGGGAUGCCAAGUCAGCGGUAAAAAUGCGGUGCUCAACGCCGUCGAGCCGUUGAAACUGGCGUU
rnacentral:rRNA from 1 species